AUGCUUGUGGAUUUCAAUGUGGGCAAAACGUCAGGAGAGAAUGCUUCUGCAACUCAGGGCAACCCAGUGGUUCCAGCCAUGCCUUGGACAAGACAUCAUCGCUAUUGUGCGGUGAUCACUUUCGGGCGAGGUUUGUUUAUGGAGCGGGGUUGCCAUUGCCUUCCUCUGAGGCUGAGAGAGUGCGACUCGCCCAGGGCUAUUUAUUUAUACUGGUUUUCAAAGGCUGAGGGGAAAGAGAGGAGGGAAAGAGGCGCCUCUGGUCUAUGGGGAGAGCCACCCGAGAAGCACCCCACGGCCCUCCUCCUUUCCCAGUCUCUCCCUCUUCCCGCCUCUCCGCGGUUCAAGCAUUCCUCCCGCCCACUUUCACGCGUCCUCGCUCUCAAAUCUCGCGAGACCCUGCAAAGAAGGGCGGGAUCUUUGGGCGGGAGCGUCAAACGGUUGAAGAAAGCGGCGCGAAGGGGAAGGUCUGCCUUGGUGUCUGUGGCGCUCAGGCGAAAUCCAAAGGGGAGUUCCGGUUUGGCAGCCAGACGAUGAGCAGCAGCAUCCUAGGGCUCUAGGAAUGCAACCCGAAGAUUCGAUCUUGGGAGGGUGUGUGUAAUCCCCUCCCCCAUAGCGGACAUUUGCAUGUUUUUGAACAGCUAGGUUGGUAGAAGCUGGGGCUAACAACAGGAGCUCACCCUGUUCCCUGGAUUCGAACCGCCAACCUUUCGAUCAGUCAGUUCAGCAGCUCAGUGAUUUAAUCCGCUGCGCCACUGGGCACAUCCCUCCCCCCAUUUCCCAAUCCCAACUCACAUUAGAUGUCUUCUAAGUCUUCUAUCUCCAGAGAUGGUUCACUAAGAGAAACAAAAAAAAUAAUAUAUAAGAACAUAACACUCAAAGGCUCCCCCAGCCCCAAAAAAGGCCCAGCCCACACCCAAAAAGUGAGAAGUUACCUCAAUCCCUGAGACAGCUGUCUCCAAAGUGCGUCGUUUCCUCCCCUGGCCAGGGUGAACUGAAAGAAAGAGAAGAGGAAAAUGACUAUUGAUAAACUUUCUCUGAAAACCUGAAAACCCUUCUCCUUUGCAGCAAGACAGUACACCUGCUUUUCACUCCUUACCCAGGAGUCAUACUUUUCUACUUGAAUGCGGCCCUGCCUCCUUCCACCCCGGCUCAGCUGUGAGGAUGCCAUCCAUGAGCGCUGUGAAAGAAAGAUGAGACUUUGCUGAAAUUCUGAUCUCUUCCCAGAAGUACAAUUCUCCUGCCUUUCCCUCCUUACCCAACUGUCCCAGGUGGUGAUUGUGGAGGAGGUGGAUUCCUGGGUCUCAACUGGAGCACUAGAGAAGAAGAGAAAAAAGCAAAACAUGGGCAGUAGAUUAAAACACAAUCAUUGGCACCAAUAUGUGCAGUCCCUUACCGCAUUUCUGGAUGGUAUCAGCCGGGAUGGGAGGAGGGAGGGCCUCAUUCAAGGAGAGUUCUUCAUUCAUGGGCACCCUGACCAGGGAAGGAGGAGGAAGAUCUGCCAGUCUGGACGCACAAUGGAGACAGCCGUUUCAGGAAGAGGAUAUGGAGAGAGACGGCUGUCUCCAAAGUGCGUCGUUUCCUCCCCUGGCCAGAGUGCACUGUCAAAGAAAGAGAAGAGCAAAGUGACUAUUGAUAAACUUCCUCUGAAGCCCUGACCUCCCCUUCCCCUUUGCAGAAAGGCAGUACACCUGCCUUUGGCUCCUUACCCAGGUGUCACACUUUUCUACUUGAAUGGGGCCCUGCCUCCUCCCAUCCCGGCUGAGCUUCAAGGAUUCCAUCCAUGAGCACUGUGAAAGAAAGAGAUGAGACUUUGUUGAAAUUCUGAUCCCAUCUUCACAGAAGUACAAUUCUCUUGCCUUUCCCUCCUUACCCAACUGUCACAUGUGAUUGUGGAGGAGGUGGACUGGGUGGUAUCAACUGGAGCACUAGAGAAGAAGAGAAAAAAGCAAAACGUUAGCAACAGAACCCUGUGUAACUAUUUUGAAGGGGAUCAAGGGUUACAACAGGAAAGCACCAGUGAAGGAAAAAAAAACAACCCAAAGUGAAGGAGGAAGGGCUUACUUUAACGGAUGGACUUUAAUAGAUCUACAACAAGGAAAAAAAUUCCUGCAGGUCUUCCUGAGGUUCUGCAAAGAAGAAAGGAGAACAAGGUCAGAGGGAGAAAGGAGUUGUCUUGAGAGAGGGGCUGUUUUAGGGCCAUUGCUCUUCCCGUCCCCAAAUCUGGGCCGUUCCUCCCACCCAAUAUCACCUGGAAAAGGGGGGAAGAGCAGCAUCCCUGACUUCCCCUCCUGGUGAUCUGGUACAAACAAACAAGCCAUAGGUAUUCAGUCCAACCCCCUUCAGUCAGGCAGG
ensembl:lncRNA